rnacentral:sRNA from 1 species
AUGAGAUGUAAGUUGCUUUGAUAUAUCAAGAGUGAGAUUUAUAAGUUACAGUCAAGACCUCAGUAUGUUGGGCAGCCGCAUUUAGUGUUGAUGGAAUAUAUAUUCUUAAGAUGAAAUUCAUAAUCUCUUAACGGAGAUAUAAGAUGUUCCUUUGAGAUAAGUUUAAUGGGUUUGGUUAUUCAGAGUGUUGGACCCAACCACUUUAGUAAGGUAUAUAUUUAUAAAAUUGCAUUUCAUAAAUAUAUGAUGAAUAACAUAAAUGAUUAAAUUGGGUACUCAAGGAUUAAGAUGUAGUAAUUAACAAAGUGGCAGUCAACAUUCAUGACUUUGUAUUACUACGAAUAUUUUAAUGAAGGGGUUGUAUGUAUAAUAAAGUCUUGAAAUAUAAUUUAUUAAUAAGGUCUAAAGUGUAAUUAUAUUCUUAUAGUGAUAUUAAAUAUAAUUAAUGGUAAUUUUGGACUUGUCAAGAGUUGACAGAAAAGUCCAAGGCCCAUUGAAUCUAGAGUUUUAUUUGUUCCCCUUAGUCCCAUCUUAAGCCACAAAUGAAAGCCCAAUUGGGUAGGCCCAAAAGGCUAACCCAAUUAGAUAAUCAGUUAUUAUUUAAUAAGAGUUAUUAAAUAAAAAAACUACUAGAAUAGAAAAAAAACGUACGUAUGAUGAAAAGAAAAGAAAUCAGUUUUUCUCCACAAGGAGAAAAAGAAAGAUUUUUCUUUGAGAGUCUAUGUACAAAAGACUGAUUGAGAGACCACACAUCUUGGGCAUCAUGUGGAAUUGAGAUGAAGAUUAAAGAUAUUUUCAAGUCAUGGUUUUAAAUUUCACUGCAUCAAGGUACGCUUUCUAUUCUUUAUUCUAGAAUUCAUGGUUACAUGUUAUAUUUCAUGAUUGAAGUAGAUCCGUAUUUGUUACUUCUACUGUGUGUUUUGUAUGAAAUACAAAACUAGAUUUACCAACACUUCCUUGACUUGGAAGAUUGUCUUGUUGAAAUUCCUCCUAUAAUCACUCUUAUUUCUCCAAGUGGAGGUCGUGAAGGCGCUUCUACCUUUCCCUUUAACUUCUUAUCCUUAUGAUCUUGUCCAAGAAAAUUCAUCAACUUUCCUUUCCUGAUGAGAUUCUCAAUCUGCGGCUUCAAGUUAUAACAUUCAUCCAUGUCAUGCCCAUGAUCUCCAUGGAAGCGACAAUACUUGUUCUUAUUGUGCUUGUUAGGAUCUCCCCUCAUCUUCUUUGGCCAUUUCAAGGAUGGAUUGUCCUUGAUAUGCAUAAGCACUUAAUCAAGCGAAACAUUCAAGGGCGAAUAAUACAAAUUCCAUCUUGAAGACGAACUUGUCUUCCUUUUGUCUCUAUCCUUCUUCUCUCCCGUCUGGACUUUCUUUGGACGAAGACCUUGUUCAGGAUGGCGUGGGAGCUCUGCUUCCAUCCGCUCUGCUCUCUUCCUCUUCUUGGCAAUGAUCACAUCUUCUACAUUCAUGAAACUUUGGGAUGAAUGGACGAGUUCAGCCAUGGUCUACGGUUCUUGUUCAUAGAGCUUGUGGAUGAAUAAAUCCAAACUAACUCCAUUGUGGAAGGCUACUAAUAAUAGCUUGUCAUCCAUCUCGUCUACCAUCAAGGCUUCCCUGUUGAAAUGAGUGAUGAAGGACCGCAAACUUUCAUUGUCUCCUUGCUUUAUAGGCAACAGGCUGGACGAGGAGUGUUUAUGCCUUUGACCUCCAAUGAAGUUAUUGACAAAUAACUUACUCAACUCCUCGAAAGAACUAACAGUUUUCAGAGGUAUCUUACUAAACCACACUCAUGCUGGCCUUUUAAGGGUGGUUCGGAAGGCUUUGCACAUUAUUUCAUCUGGAACCCCUUGAAGGUGCACUGUGGUCUUGAAGGUUGCAAUGUGAUCACAUAGGUCAUGCGUUCCAUCAUACGAAUCCAACGAAGGCAUCUUAAACUUGGAAGGCAAGGGAUGACUAUUGAUGGAAGUUAUGAAAGGGGAAUCGGUUUGAUGAACUAAAUCAUCUACAUGAUUCAUCCUUCUCAUAUUUUCCCUCAUCUCGUCCAUGACCCUCCUCAUUUAAUCCAUCUCCUUCUCCAAGUGUGGCACCUUACGCGAAGCUAUACCCCGUGAAUGAUUCUCGCCCUCAACAUUUUCUACUUCUCUAACUUCUUGACUUUGAGCUUGCCUUUCCACACACCGUUCAUGACGUUGCCUUUGGUUGAUCUCUCGAGUCAACUCUUGAUUCUGACGAGUUAGCUCUGCUAUGGCGGCUACCAUGGAUUGCAUUUGUUGGACGGAAGGCGGUUGCAUAACAGGUGCUAAUUGGUGAGCGCGAUUAGAGUGGCUGGAAGCGUUUCCACUCUUCUGGUGGCCUAGACCAGUGGCCAUUGACCUUGUCCAGAUCAUACAACCUUUUGUCCAAGAAAGAUAAAUUACAAAACAUAAAUUUAAUCUCUUUCCCACAGACGGCACCAACUGAUGAUGCAUUAAAAAUCAGUAGGCUGAAUGCUCCAGGCUUCAAUGGGCUAGUGAUUACAUAGAAGGCCUAAAAAGAAAGACAUAAGAUCAAAGGUGACCAGGGUGAACCGGCCAAGAACCCUCUGAUGCUUAAGUUAGUUUUUUCUCUAGGACUCAAGAAUUUCAACUUUAGGAGUGGUGGAAACUUACCUUCAUUUAAUAUGGAUGAGUCCUUUUAUAGUGAGUUUUGGAGUGGUUACUUGUUUGGUAACUUCCUCAACAUAGAUGGAAGUUAGCAGAUUCAGACUUAAAUUUCACAAUUGCUAUGGAAGUUAGAAGGUUCGGAUUUAUCUUCUACAACUGCUAUCUGAAAUUAAGAACUUAGUAAGAAGUUAUAGUGAUGAACAAGGAUUUUGCUCAUACCUCGAAAUAGUGGAACAUGGUCCAAAUUAUAAGUUCUUGAACACAAAUUUACUCUAAUAAUUUCUAACUGUUGCGAAGUCGUCUAGGUGCUUACACUCUUGAUGACCUUACACUUGGACAACACUUUUAAUUACCGUUACAGUCUACCAAACGUGCACUUCUUCAAUUCUUCAAUUUUUUCUUUAACUAAAAGUAUCGGUUUUUUUUUUUUUUUCCUCUGUUACUUCUUCAGUUCAUUCAGUUUUUUUUUUCCUCGUUUGUUUUGGGUUCUUGUGCUCAUCUUUUUUAUUUUUUUCUUUUUUAAAAGGUGUCCAUCUAUAUACAAUUUUUUCAAUAAAAAUAUAAUGUGCAAUUUUUUUUAUCUAAUAAGGGCAUGAGAGUAAAUUUACACAAACUUUAUUUUCUAUCCUCCCAUUUUUUCUACUCAACCAAACAAAAUAUUUUUCCAUCUCUCCACUUUUCUAUCCAUCCAACCAAACACACACGAGGAAAAACUAAAUUUUUUCUAUCUUCUUACUUUUCCACCCCUUCAACCAAACGGACCCUAAUUGACAUUUCAAAAUAUGAAUUCUUUGUCUUUCUCCAAGUUACAUUUUCUUUGUAGGUAAAUGGUCCGUUUGGUUAGGAGUUUUAAGAGAUUAAAAGAGCAUUUUUAAAACCCAAAACCCUGUUUUGCAACCAUAACUCCUCAUAAAUUUUUUACAAAUGCACCAAAAAUCCAAAUGAUAGUCUUUAAAUUUGGGUGAUUUUGUCAUUUUCAUGUUUUAAAUUUACUUUUUGACAUAUAGGGCAUGUUUGGUAGACUGUAACGAUAACUACAUAAGAAUAGAAAUAGCUAUUACAAAAAAUACAAGAUGAUGUAAUGUAAUACUUAUUACUAUUCAUCUAUUUGGUGACAACACAAAAAUAUAACCUUGAAGACAAUGGAAUAAAAGAAUUUUAAAUCAAAUUUAAGAUAUAUUUUAGAAAAUAUCUUAUUCAUGUAAUUAUAUUUCCUAAAAAAUAAUAUUUUUUAAAUUUGAAAGGGAGAUUAGUUAUUUUUUUAUGAUUUUUUAUUUUCAUAAUUGUUAUGUGCAUAUGGAAAGUUUGUUUAUUAAGAAAUAUAUUAAUUUUUUUUUGGGAAAGGAAAUAUAUUAAUUUUAGAAAUUAAUACACCUAUUAAGAAAUAGCUAUUACAAAUUUACAACUAUUUUAGAGAUGGAUACUUAUUCCUCAUUUUAAAGAAUAACUAUUCCUUGUAAUAAAAACAUAACAAAACUACCGAAUAGCUAAAUUAUAGGAAUAACUAUUAUAUUACAGUGCCUAUUAUAGUCUACCAAACAUAUCCAAAGUUCUUAAACUUUAAAAUUUUUGUCAAGUUGACCAUUUUACAUAUAAAACUGUCAUUAAGCCCUUGCCUUGCCAAAUAUGUGAUAUAAUGUUGUUUUGUGCGACGUAAAAACAUAUUUAUAGGCAAUAAUAAAUAAACGGGAAAUUUCAAUACAAUACUUUAGGUAUAAUACAUUAGGUUUUUCAAUUAAAUUCAAAUGUCUAGUUGUAUUAACCAAUAAAACUCAAACAAUAUUAUAUUUUUCAAGCAUAAUAAAUUUUAACCCAUCAAGAUGUAUGAAUUUGAUUAUAGAAUCUAAUAUACUACACCUAAGGUAUUGUAUCUAAAUUUUACCCUAAACACAAUGAUCAACUUGACAGGAAUGUUAAAGUUUAAGAAUUAAAAUGAUAACAAAUAAAUUUUAAGGACUAAAAUGAUAAUUCAUCCAAACUUAAACUAUGUAAUUUUGAUUUUAUUUUUUUUGUUGGAAAUUAUAUUUUAAACCUUAUAGUUUAGGGGUAUAACAAAUCUAACCUUAUACUUUUAAAAGUUAAAAAAAAAAAAUUGAAUUUAAACCCCCUAUUUCAAAAUUGACAAAUUAUUUCCUAAAAAUUUAAAAUGUAACAAAUUAAAAAAUAUAUAUAUCCAUUUAAAUGAAACUAUAUUUUUAUUUUUGAAAUAGUUUAUAACUAUUUUCUUUAAAAAGAAAGAAAAAGAAAAAAAAAAGGAGAGAGUUUGAAAUUAUAGAAUUUAAUUUGUCACCCAAUAUCAUUCAUAGGGUUUAAAUAUAUAAUUUAUCUUAAUUUUUUAAACUUAUACCAAUAUUAUUUUGAAUAGAUCGAUGUAGGAUACUCAAAUAAAAAAAUUCUAAAAAAAGUAUAAAAAUAAAAAAGAAAAGAAAAGAAAAGAAAAAGAGAGGAUGCAGCUAGUAGAAAAUACAAACACUUCCGAAAUAUAUAAUCAGGAUUCAGGCCCAAUAGGGCGCCAACUCCUCCGCGCACCUAUUUUCCACACUCCGAAAAUCAAAAUCAAACCCAAACUUUCCCCGAAAAACACAAAAAUAGCGCCCUUCUUAACUUAAAAUCCCCCACACACGUAUCCACGUCAUCGAUCCGCACCACAUUUCAAAAUCCCAUCUCAACCGUCAAUACAAACUAUCAACGGUCCAAAUCUCUCAGAAACAGCAUUUAACGGAUCCUUCACCGUUGCCCUUUUCCCACUCCCUCCUAUAAAUCCCCACCAAAACCAAAACCCUUCCUCACUCGUUCAUUCACUCAUUAACUCACCAAAUCCCCAAUUCAGGUAAAACCAAUUCCAAGCCCUCUAUUUAUCUCUGCUUUUUCACUUCUCUCUCUAAUUCUUUAAUCUUAAUUAAUUUCUUUCUUUGUUUUGGUGUUUCAGAUUUUUGAAUUCAAGCCUCGGAAAAAUGUCUGGGCGUGGAAAGGGAGGCAAGGGUUUGGGAAAAGGAGGAGCGAAACGGCAUCGUAAGGUGCUUCGCGAUAACAUCCAGGGAAUCACCAAGCCCGCUAUUCGCCGAUUGGCUCGCAGGGGUGGAGUGAAGCGUAUCAGCGGUCUGAUCUACGAGGAGACACGUGGCGUCCUCAAGAUCUUCUUGGAGAACGUGAUUCGCGACGCCGUGACCUACACUGAGCACGCAAGGAGGAAGACCGUGACGGCCAUGGACGUCGUCUAUGCCUUGAAGAGGCAAGGAAGGACUCUCUACGGGUUUGGGGGUUAG